rnacentral:rRNA from 1 species
CAGCCGCCGCGGAAUACGUAGGGCGCAAGCGUUAUCCGGAAUUAUUGGGCGUAAAGAGCUCGUAGGCGGUUUGUCGCGUCUGCCGUGAAAGUCCGGGGCUCAACCCCGGAUCUGCGGUGGGUACGGGCAGACUAGAGUGAUGUAGGGGAGACUGGAAUUCCUGGUGUAGCGGUGAAAUGCGCAGAUAUCAGGAGGAACACCGAUGGCGAAGGCAGGUCUCUGGGCAUUAACUGACGCUGAGGAGCGAAAGCAUGGGGAGCGAACAGGAUUAGAUACCCCUGUAGUCCCUGUCUCUUAUACA